UCACUUUAGCAACAAAUAUACUAAAAUUGGAGUGAUACAAAAAAAUUGGCAUGAACCCUGUCCAAAGAUGUCAUGCAAAUUUGUGAAGAUUUUAUCAGGACA
rnacentral:snRNA from 1 species